UACGUAGGGUGCGAGCGUUGUCCGGAAUUACUGGGCGUAAAGAGUUCGUAGGCGGUUUGUCGCGUCGUUCGUGAAAACUUGGGGCUUAACUCCAAGCGUGCGGGCGAUACGGGCAGACUUGAGUACUACAGGGGAGACUGGAAUUCCUGGUGUAGCGGUGAAAUGCGCAGAUAUCAGGAGGAACACCGGUGGCGAAGGCGGUUCUCUGGGCCUUACCUGACACUGAGGAGCGAAAGCGUGGGGAGCGAACAGGA
rnacentral:rRNA from 1 species